rnacentral:rRNA from 1 species
CGUUCCUACGGGAGGCAGCAGUAGGGAAUCUUCCACAAUGGGCGAAAGCCUGAUGGAGCAACGCCGCGUGGGUGAAGAAGGUCUUCAGAUCGUAAAACCCUGUUGUUAGAGAAGAAAGUGCGUGAGAGUAACUGUUCACAUUUCGACGGUAUCUAACCAGAAAGCCACGGCUAACUACAUGCCAGCAGCCGCGGCAAUACGUAGGUGGCAAGCGUUAUCCGGAUUUAUUGGGCGUAAAGGGAACGCAGGCGGUCUUUUAAGUCUGAUGUGAAAGCCUUCGGCUUAACCGGAGUAGUGCAUUUGAA